UGUUGAUGAUGUUGUUCUUUCCAGCCUCACCUGUUGUGUCCGUCCCGUCAGGAAGCUGCGGAUCCAGUGGCAGAUCGUUGGGGACACACCGAGCUGGAUGUGUUUGGAGGUGAGUAGUU